rnacentral:rRNA from 1 species
GCAGUGGCAAAUUGGACAGCACCUACCUGCACCAAAGAGGUGCGUAGCUUCUUGGGCCUUGCCGGGUAUUAUCGGCGGUUUGUGAGGAAUUUUGGAGUCACUGCAAGACCAUUGUUCAAUCUGCUCAAGAAAGGGGUUCCGUUCGUCUGGACAGACACAACUGAGACAACUUUUCAGGUCCUCAAACAACAAUUGAUCUCAGCGCCUGUUCUAGCGCUGCCGGAUUUUCAACAACGUUUCAUCGUCGAAACUGAUGCUAGUGAUCGCGGCAUAGGGGCCAUCUUGCAGCAACAAGGGCACCCUAUAGCCUUUAUGAGCAAAGCACUCAGCCCGUGCUACCAGGGGCUGUCCACGUACGAGAAGGAGUACUUGGCAAUUGUUGUCGCAGUAGAUCAGUGGCGCCCUUACCUGCAACAUGCCGAGUUUGACAUCCUCACGGAUCAGAAAAGUUUGACUCAUUUGGAAGAACAACGGCUGACCACCCCAUUGCAACAGAAGGCCUUCACCAAGCUUUUGGGACUAAGAUAUCACAUUCUUACAAGAAAGGAGUGGAAAACAUAG